rnacentral:rRNA from 1 species
ACGGCGAGUGAAGCGGUAACAGCUCAAAUUUGAAAUCUGGCCUCACGGUCCGAGUUGUAAUUUGUAGAGGAUGUUUCGAGCAUGGUCUGGCCUAAGUUCCUUGGAACAGGACGUCAUAGAGGGUGAGAAUCCCGUAUGCGGCCAGGUGCCUACGCUCAUGUGAAGCUCCUUCGACGAGUCGAGUUGUUUGGGAAUGCAGCUCAAAAUGGGUGGUAAAUUUCAUCUAAAGCUAAAUAUUGGCCAGAGACCGAUAGCGCACAAGUAGAGUGAUCGAAAGAUGAAAAGCACUUUGGAAAGAGAGUUAAACAGUACGUGAAAUUGUUGAAAGGGAAGCGCUUGCAACCAGACUUGCGCGCGGCUGAUCAUCCGGUGUUCUCACUGGUGCACUCGGUCGCGCUCAGGCCAGCAUCGGUUUUGGUGGUUGGAUAAAGGUCCUAGGAAUGUGGCUCCUCUCGGGGAGUGUUAUAGCCUAGGGCGCAAUGCAGCCUACCGGGACCGAGGACCGCGCUUCGGCUAGGAUGC